GGAGCCGUAGCGAAAGCGAGUUUUAACUGAGCGUUCAGUUACUUGACGUAGACCCGAAACCGGGCGACCUACCCAUGAGCAGGAUGAAGCGAAAGUAAAAUUUCGUGGAGGUCCGAACCCACGAGCGUUGAAAAGCUCGGGGAUGACUUGUGGGUAGCGGUGAAAUUCCAAUCGAGCCCGGAGAUAGCUGGUUCUCCCCGAAAUAGCUUUAGGGCUAGCCUCAAGGUGAGAGAUACGGAGGUAGAGCACUGAAUGUCCUAGGGGGUAUUGCACCUACCGAAGACUAUCAAACUCCGAAUGCCGUCAUCUUAUACUUGGGAGUCAGACUGUGGGUGAUAAGAUUCAUAGUCGAAAGGGCAACAGCCCAGAUCGUCAGCUAAGGUCCCUAAAUGUAAGUUAAGUGGUAAAGGAUGUGGGAUUGCACAGACAACCAGGAUGUUGGCUUAGAAGCAGCCACUCAUUCAAAGAGUGCGUAAUAGCUCACUGGUCGAGUGAUCCUGCGCCGAAGAUUUCCGGGGCUAAAACUUACUACCGAAGCUACGGCAUCAGUAAUGAUGGGUAGGGGAGCUUCCCAUACGGGUUGAAGCAUGACCGUAAGGACAUGUGGACAGUAUGGGAGUGAGAAUGUUGGCAUGAGUAGCGAGAUGUGGGUGAGAAUCCCACAGGCCGUAAACCCAAGGUUUCCAGGGGAAGGUUCGUCCGCCCUGGGUUAGUCGGGACCUAAGCUGAGGCCGAAAGGCGUAGGUGAUGGACAACAGGUUGAUAUUCCUGUACUACCGAUAACCGUUUGAGAGAAGGGAUGACACAGUAGGAUAAGCUAAGCACACUGUUGGUUAUGUGUGCCCAAGCAUUGAGGCAGUCAAAGUAGGCAAAUCCGCUUUGAUAAUGCUGGGAUGUGAUGGGGAGCGAAAUUUAGUAGCGAAGUAGCUGAUUUCACACUGUCAAGAAAAGUCUCUAUCGAGGUUAAAGGUACCCGUACCGCAAACCGACACAGGUGGGUGAGGAGAGUAUCCUAAGGCCAGCGAGAGAACUGUUGUUAAGGAACUCGGCAAAAUGACCCCGUAACUUAGGGAUAAGGGGUGCCACCAUCAGGUGGCCGCAGAGAAUAGGCCCAAGCGACUGUUUACCAAAAACAUAGGUUUCUGCUAAGUCGCAAGACGAUGUAUAGGAGCUGACGCCUGCCCGGUGCUGGAAGGUUAAGGGGAUCUGUUAGAGCAAUCGAAGCAGUGAACUUAAGCCCCAGUAAACGGCGGCCGUAACUAUAACGGUCCUAAGGUAGCGAAAUUCCUUGUCGGGUAAGUUCCGACCCGCACGAAAGGCGUAACGAUUUGGGCACUGUCUCAACAACAGACUCGGUGAAAUUGUAAUUCCGGUGAAGAUGCCGGAUACCUGCGACAGGACGGAAAGACCCCAUGGAGCUUUACUGUAGCUUGACAUUGGGUCUUGGUACUACAUGUACAGGAUAGGUGGGAGGCUUUGAAACCAGGACGCCAGUUUUGGCGGAGCCAUCCUUGGGAUACCACCCUUGUAGUACUGGGACUCUAACCAUAGGCCAUGAAUCUGGUCUUGGGACACUGUCAGGUGGGCAGUUUGACUGGGGCGGUCGCCUCCCAAAAGGUAACGGAGGCGCUCAAAGGUUCUCUCAGUACGGUCGGAAAUCGUACGUAGAGUGUAAAGGCAAAAGAGAGCUUGAUUGCAAGACAUACAGGUCGAGCAAGGAUGAAAAUCGGACUUAGUGAUCCGGUGGUUCUGCGUGGAAGGGCCAUCGCUCAACGGAUAAAAGCUACCCUGGGGAUAACAGGCUUAUCUCCCCCAAGAGUCCACAUCGACGGGGAGGUUUGGCACCUCGAUGUCGGCUCAUCACAUCCUGGGGCUGUAGUAGGUCCCAAGGGUUGGGCUGUUCGCCCAUUAAAGUGGUACGCGAGCUGGGUUCAGAACGUCGUGAGACAGUUCGGUCCCUAUCCGUCGCAGGCGUAGGAAAUUUGAGAAGACCUGUCCUUAGUACGAGAGGACCGGGAUGGACGUACCUCUGGUGUACCAGUUGUCCUGCCAAGGGCAUGGCUGGGUAGCUAUGUACGGAAUGGAUAAGCGCUGAAAGCAUCUAAGCGCGAAGCCAACUUCAAGAUAAGAUUUCCCACCGCAAGGGUAAGACCCCAGAAAGACUAUCUGGUUGAUAGGUCGAAGGUGUAAGUGCAGCAAUGUAUUUAGCUUAUCGAUACUAAUAGGUCGAGGACUUGACCAA
rnacentral:rRNA from 2 species